GCAUCGUGGAGAUGGCUCUGUGGGUAAAGGACUCGCCUUCAAGCAGGGUGACCAGAGUUGGGACUGUCAUCAUACAUGUGAGUACCAGGGUUACUGGACAUGGAGCAUACUGUGCUGAAGGAUCUGUGGGAAGACAAGCACAAGCUGAACAUCGAGAUUAUUUCCAGUGAAAAAAAAGAUCAGAGAACGCUUCAUCGAAAGUCACUGACCACCAGAGACGUGUGUUUCAGAACAACAGUAACAAGAUGUAUAUAUGGAGGUGUGAAUUCCACUUCUGGAGUUAACUAGGUCAAAAGUUUUGCUGUGGCAUCCGAAUGAACCAAGAUAAGAAUCCACCGAGCGACCUCAUCCCACUUUUGAAGCCAGCGCUCAUAUCCAGAGUGUGCAGUCUUUCCUUCCUUAACUUUUGUCUUCCCUUAAUUCUAAACCUGAAACUAUGCUGGAGACUUUUCUUAAUAUAGACCUCAACCCUUCCUCACUAUUAAAAAAAAAUCCAUAUUCUGAUUCCUUUUUAUGAAAAUUGUAACAUCAUAGCUAGAAUUACUUAGUUUCAACUGCAAUAGGAAUCUAUACCAGGGUCUCUUUUUAGACAAAAACCACUGAUAACAUCAAGUUGCACCUUCUUUCCUCACUUCCCUGGGAAUGGAUCAUCUCCUCUGCUCCUCCUGAAGGCACUGAAUGGAGAGGGUGUGUCAACUGAACAGUGCCCUGCUUGGUUGACAAGGCCCAGCACCGUGAAUGGGAGGAACAGAAUGGAACCACUAACUGUCAAGAGAUGCAGUGGGACCUUGGAAAGGAUGUUGCAGACACCUGAAGCAAAACAAGAAAACUUCUUGGAACUUCUGCAACUGAAGCCAAUGAGACCAUGCUGCAGAUCAGACAGGACUGAAAAAUCUUUGAGCUGUUCCACAGUUGGGCGUGCUCCUACUGAGCUGGCGGGCCGUUUUCUUAAAUAAGGCACAGUGCUGGUCUGACAUUAACUUAACAGAAUAAUUAUCAAGUGAAAAAUAAUGGCCACACUGCUGAGAACCUGAAUAAUGGCUCUCAUAAUUACUGAUCUGGAGCCUGUAUUUAAAAAAAAUAAAAUACAGAGCACAAGUUUUUAUCCAUUCAUUUUUAUGUAGCCAGGGUACAGAAAGUGACACACAGACCACCCUUGAGGAAGGUUAACUAAAUAAGUGGGUUUUUGCACUGAAAUUAUGUCCAAUAAGACCCUCUCAAUAAGAAGAUCCCAGCAGCUACUCACUGACUGCUCAGGACUACUUAUUUUAUACAGCUUGAUGAUUUAAUCAGACAUUACGUAGGAGAACACUCCAAUCAUGGAUUUAAGGCAUUUAUAAGUUCCUGUGCUGUGGAGGCCAUUUUAGGUUUGAGUUUAAAUCUGAGUCUCAAGCCCUGAUUCUCUCCACAAAUUUGCAAGUUAUUCCAUGAUCUGUCUUUCAUUCCAAAAUAAGAUGGGUUGCUGGAACUCGAGAUUGUGUUCGUGCGAAGACUGAAAAAUGGGGGAAAUUCCAGGUGCCACACUGUGCCUGCAGCUAGGAAAGCCCACAUGUUGGGUUGCAGCUGUACACCAGUGUUAGAAGGCCAUCAGCAUGUAUAGAAGCCUCAUAUUUGUUGGAUGGAGAGGUAGCUCGGGGAUAGAGUUCUUGCAUUUAUUUGUACAAGGUUGUCCCUGGCUGCUAUACCCAACAACACCAAAAGAGAGAGCUAGGGAGAGCAAGAGAGGUGGAGGGAAAUUAGAGUUAGACCAAGUAUUUACAUAUAAUUAAGCCACAGCACUUUUUAAUAUAAAAGUAGACUGAUAUUGUUGUAGUUCUGGACACACCUGAGAUGGUUGCCCUCGAGAAAAUUUUAAGACAGAAUAAUGCAAAGCUAACAGCAACCAUCAUGCUACGCAUCAGAUAAAACAUGCCUACGUUCUAUUUAUCCCUACCUUUGACUAAUUCUAUUUUUAAUUC
ensembl:antisense Gm43507 predicted gene 43507